rnacentral:lncRNA from 1 species
GCUCUCCGCCCCACCCGAGCUCUUGCUCCGUGUGCUACCCCUUGAGCAGAUGAAGAAACUGACGCGGGGGUGGGGUCCUACAAAGAACCCAGGCCCCAUAGGGGAAACAUAGCCGUUGCCGGUCAGAGCUCCGAGAAUAUUUGCAGCGAGAAAACUAGGGAACCAACGCUGUUGUCAUAGCUGAAUCAAACUUAGAAUACGGAAAUCCAGACAGAAAGCGAAGAACAACCGCGAACUUCAUAGCAUCGAGUCACCAGCAGCUGCUAGGACCUUAGCUGCCUUCCUGCGGACCUGAACCCCGUGCUAGUCCGCCCCCGCAAGGUCUGAUUAUUUAUUUGUCAUUCUUAAAGACUAUUUUUGACUGGACUCAGUAGAAACUCUCAGCGAGAACAGCGCACGCCACUUGGCGGUCUGUUCCUGGAGUUUUUCUUUGGCUUCCUUCAUUUUCUUGGCCAAAAGUUUAGCAUGUUCUACAGCCUCCUCCUCGUUUCCCCAGUGCCGGUGCGUACGAAGCACCUCGGGGAGUUUCGGACAGCCGAUGGCCGCGAUUUCCCUGUUCUGGAUUUUUCAGCUUCCUCCUGACAAGGCCUGGAAUUCACUUCUAGCUUUCUUUCAAAUCGAAGCAGCUCUCCCGCCUCGGCCUUCCGAAUACUAAGAUUACAGGCACGCGCCACCACGCCAGGCUCAAAAAUGUCUUUAUAAAUCGUUGCUAAGUACAGUAACGCAUGGAGUGAACAAGACUGAAGUUUUUCUCAAAAACAAAACAAACAAAAGAGCCACCACCUCUGCAUCUUGGUUUAAGUUCGGACAAUAUCACGGACUUACAUGAAAAUACUACUUUGUAUCUGGCAACCUGGUGGCCAGAGUAACACCGCUUUGCAGAUUCCCCUAAAACCUCACUCAAAAAGGUGUCGAGCAGAGGCAGGAGGCUGCAAGCAUUUCCAGAUAGACCCGGACUCUUCAAGCCAGUAAAUAACUUAGCUGGGUGAGGUGGCGCUUGCCCACCUGUAACCCCAGCAUUUGGGAAGUGGAGACAGGGGGAUCAAGAGUUCAAGGUGGAGCAGUCGAGUUCGAGGUCACCUGGUUUUUACCCUCCCUUUCAGCAAGACUCCUACUGUCACGGAAGACGCCUGAGUUGAUUCUCCUGGCCUUCUUCACUAAGGCUCCGUGACUCUAAGCUUGUCCAUCCUCUCCCCUCUGCAGCAGCUGGUGAUCGAGCUCAGUCACUGAGUUCUAGCUUUUAUCUUCCUCUUCACAUUUUUAAAUUUUGACAUAGAGCUCUGGAACACACAGUCACAGGAAGACAGAACAUUUUCCAUAGAGAAACCGAAGUCCUGCUUGUGAAUUCUGGGCUUGGGGUGAGAUGGAGAAACAGAAAAAUAGGGAAAUGAAAAUAAUUUAAAUGUUUCACUGCCCAAUGUGUGCAUAUGAAAACUGUUAGACAAAAAAAAAAAAAGAAAGAAAAAUAGACAAA